UCGACAGAGGACGAUGCUUUAAUUAAUCUCAUACAAAAUAACAAAUUUAUUUUCGAUAGUAGCCAUAAAUAUCACAAGGAUAAUACUAUUAGAGAUUCUAUUUGGAAAAAUAUAUUUGAUUAAGUAGGAAGAUCAAGCGAUGGCUGUAAAAAACGCUGGAAGAAUAUUCGGGACACGCACUUGAAACAGAAAAAGAAACUUCCGACAGGAUCAGCUGCUCCAUAUAAAAAAAAUUGAUGUAUAAUAAAUUUAUCAUUUUUGGACACCAUUGAAUACGAAAGAAGAUAAAAUGUGUUUAAUGACCUGGUGUUACGACUAGGGACAUGGAAAAAAAAAAUCGGACAAAAAGGUAGGACAGUCAAAACUUCCUAAGAAGAGCUUAUACGCAAAAUACACAUCUAAUCGUAUACGGCGUUGUUCAAGCGUUUCAAUAGAUAGCAUCGUUAAAAGUGGGGUAUACGAAGAGUGUGGUUCUCUAGGUAUGGAACAUUGAAAUGAAACGAAACGUAAGAACUUUUGUUGUAUGCCCUCAAUUUUAUACUUAUGAAAGGAUGUAUAAGAAGACCAUAUUAUUGAUCCAUAU